CGUGCACGCCCGAGCGUGUCCUCUCACAUAAUAAUCCAUCUCACCCUUUGUGCAUCGCCGCGUGGGCACCCUUUGGGAUCAUCUCGGAGGGGGCUCGCGUUUUCACACAAACCCCCCUUUUAAAAGUGUAGAAUGACCUCAUUUAUGCGCUAACCCGCAAUCAAUACAACUUUCAACAACGGAUCUCUUGGCUCUCGCAUCGAUGAAGAACGCAGCGAAAUGCGAUACGUAAUGUGAAUUGCAGAAUUCAGUGAAUCAUCGAAUCUUUGAACGCACCUUGCGCCCCUUGGUAUUCCGAGGGGCACACCCGUUUGAGUGUCGUGAAAACCUCAACCUCCUUGGUUUCUUCUGGAGACCAAAGCAGGCUUGGACUUUGGAGGCCUUUGCUGGCACCUCUCUGUCAGCUCCUCUUAAAUGAAUUAGCAGGGUCCUCUUUGCUGAUCCUUGACGUGUGAUAAGAUGUUUCCAUGUCUUGGUUUCUGGCUCUGUCACUUUUGGGACCCGCUUCUAACCGUCUUGACCUUGCGUCGAGACAAUGUUCGAGCACRUCUCCCUUCUCGGGAAGCUCCCUCGACCCCACGAACCCUUGACCUCAAAUCGGGUGAGACUACCCGCUGAACUUAAGCAUAUCA
rnacentral:rRNA from 1 species